AGAAAUAUAUUGUAUUAUGAAUGUUCCAAGAAUAACCCCAGGAGUGAAACUAAUGAUUUUAUUGUUUGUUACGAUGAGCGGUAUCCUCAUGUAUAGAACAUACUGGGGAAAAUAUAAAAGACAAGUCAGUGGUUUGUUUCCCCACGAACUCGAGCCAAUGUUUGAAGAGGAAGCCCCCAGAUUUGAGUUUGAUGGAUCACGUGUGGACAAAAAACAUGUAUGAAAAAUAAAAAUAAAGAUUUUCGUUUUAAGAUUUUAUAGAAUGAGUACUAUUGACAUAAGAAAAAAUAUUAAAAAACUAUCAAUCCUUCAAUUAACUUUCAUCAGAUCAAAAUAAACACAAAAUAGUU